rnacentral:rRNA from 1 species
AGCGAACGCUGGCGGCAGGCUUAACACAUGCAAGUCGAACGGGUAUCUUCGGAUACUAGUGGCAGACGGGUGAGUAACACGUGGGAACGUACCUUUCGGUUCGGAAUAAUACAGGGAAACUUGUACUAAUACCGGAUACGCCCUUCGGGGGAAAGAUUUAUCGCCGAUAGAUCGGCCCGCGUCUGAUUAGCUAGUUGGUGAGGUAAUGGCUCACCAAGGCGACGAUCAGUAGCUGGUCUGAGAGGAUGAUCAGCCACACUGGGACUGAGACACGGCCCAGACUCCUACGGGUGGCUG